rnacentral:tRNA from 1 species
CUGGAGAUGGCUCAGAGGUUAAGAGCACUGGCUGCUCUUCCAGAGGUCCUGAGUUCAAUUCCCAGCCCCCACA